UAUAUUCCUAGAGCGUCGCUGGAGGGAAGUCCCUGGAGGUGCCAGGAGGGUGUUGGCUGCUUCUUCCAAAGCAGAGGAGGGCUGGAGAGUCUGGUGGCCCUUUUUAGUUUUCUCCGUCCUAACCUUCAUAUAAAAAUUAGCAGAAGAGGGAGGUCUUUCUUCAUCUACUUUGGAAGCAGCCCAGAAGCACAGAACGAAAAUGGAAGGGCAAGAGUGGGAUGUUCCCAGGUUAGGAAUACCUUCUUGCCCCAUUCAGGAGGAAAACAGUGGAACCUUCUGGGGAAGCAAUAUUCAGGAGGAGAGCAGUGGAGCAUACUGGGAAAGCACCAUUCAAGAGGAGAGCAGUGGAGCGUUCUGGGAAGACACCUUUCAAAAGGAGAGCAAUGGAGAUUUCUGGGAUAGCACCAUUCAGGAGGAGAGCGGUGGAACAUUCUGG